AGACAGUCAAGCUCGUACACAUCAGCUCUGAGAAACCUCAUAUUUAGUCUGACUACUCUACAUCAAGGCAUUGUUCAGACAGGCAGCAAUUCUGUGUUUAUUUUUCCUGUAUUCUCAGCAAACAAGAAUAAACCUAUCCUCAAGUAAUUUCA